CCUUAGAGUUUGAUCCUGGCUCAGGACGAACGCUGGCGGCGCGCCUAACACAUGCAAGUCGAACGAGCGAGAGAGAGCUUGCUUUCUCGAGCGAGUGGCGAACGGGUGAGUAACGCGUGAGGAACCUGCCUCAAAGAGGGGGGACAACAGUUGGAAACGACUGCUAAUACCGCAUAAGCCCACGGCUCGGCAUCGAGCAGAGGGAAAAGGAGCAAUCCGCUUUGAGAUGGCCUCGCGUCCGAUUAGCUAGUUGGUGAGGUAACGGCCCACCAAGGCGACGAUCGGUAGCCGGACUGAGAGGUUGAACGGCCACAUUGGGACUGAGACACGGCCCAGACUCCUACGGGAGGCAGCAGUGGGGAAUAUUGCACAAUGGGGGAAACCCUGAUGCAGCGACGCCGCGUGGAGGAAGAAGGUCUUCGGAUUGUAAACUCCUGUUGUUGGGGAAGAUAAUGACGGUACCCAACAAGGAAGUGACGGCUAACUACGUGCCAGCAGCCGCGGUAAAACGUAGGUCACAAGCGUUGUCCGGAAUUACUGGGUGUAAAGGGAGCGCAGGCGGGAAGACAAGUUGGAAGUGAAAUCUAUGGGCUCAACCCAUAAACUGCUUUCAAAACUGUUUUUCUUGAGUAGUGCAGAGGUAGGCGGAAUUCCCGGUGUAGCGGUGGAAUGCGUAGAUAUCGGGAGGAACACCAGUGGCGAAGGCGGCCUACUGGGCACCAACUGACGCUGAGGCUCGAAAGUGUGGGUAGCAAACAGGAUUAGAUACCCUGGUAGUCCACACCGUAAACGAUGAUUACUAGGUGUCGGAGGAUUGACCCCUUCAGUGCCGCAGUUAACACAAUAAGUAAUCCACCUGGGGAGUACGACCGCAAGGUU
rnacentral:rRNA from 1 species